UCUUGUUUUUGUUUUGUGUUCCUGUCAUUGGUUUUUUUGCUUUUUUUUCUUGAAUUCUCAUUAUGUUUCAUUCUUUUGUUAUAGUUGUUAAUUUAUACAUUUUGUUGAUUCCUUUUUUAUGAUUUUUACUUGCUUAUUUGAUUUUGCUAAAGUUGUGAGGCCAAUGAUGUUCUGUCAUUCUACCCACUUAAUAUUGGAAUGCAAACUUAAAUAUGAAGGACUUUGCAAUGUCUUAUAUUUAACUCUUUUCCUCCUUUUUGUUUUUUGAUGGACAUACACGGUAAGCAUUUUGAUGGCUUUUAGUCCAUUCACCAAGCUUCCUUAUCUUACUAAUGUGCAUAUGAUGGAGCAGUAUGAGGAAGCACCAUUUGGUGAGCUUAAGUCCCAUUUUUGCUGUUGCAAAUGCAUCAUCUAGCUAUGAUGAGCGAAAGUAGAAGCAUAUCUAUACUGCUAUAAUAUAUAAACCGCAUCAAUUUCCAUGGGAAAAUUGGCACUGUUGAUCUACAAUGCCAAAUUCAAGGGUAAUUUUGUGAAUGUGGGGUGUUUGGAGGCUGUUGCUAGAUCAUGAAGGAAAGGUUGGAGUGAAAGAAAGUGUAUAAAUUAAUAUCAGUUUUGGUAAGUUUGAUAUGUGUUUCUCUAAUUUAUAAUGCUCAUCCAGGAUAUGUAUUAUUAUUUUUGCUAAUCCUCAUAUCCUAUUUGAGUCUCCAUAAAAUUGUGAGCUUUGUUGUUAAGCACACUCAACCUGUUUUACCUCCAAAAUAAAGUUUUAGGUAAUUCAUUUCUUUCACCUGCAAUAGCAUUUUCUUUUUGGAAAUUAAUCAUGUUUUCUUUUUAACUCUAAAGUUCCUCUCAUGAUAUUGUUUAUGAAGAAAUAACCAUAUUAUGGAGUUUGAAGUCUACUUCGGUCUAAUGAUUAAAAAAGAAAGGUCUGGUGAGAAAUUGCAUCCUUUUUCAUUUUUCUAUAUGGUUUCAUUUAUUAUAUUUUGACUGUCAAGCGUUUAAUUAUCAAAGUUUCUGGGAUGUAUUUUUCUUUUUCAGCUAAUUCCCUGGAUAAUGGACAAGAUAUAAGCUAUCAAACAAUUAAAUUUUGCGUACCCUUACUGAACUAUUUAAUUCUAAUUGAAGCAAAUGUGUACUAUUCAAUUGUAUAAGUUUUGACUCUUAUGAGUUUAAGUACAGACUUUCAUCCUCUCCAAUUUAUGAUUGUAUGCAAAUUUACCCUUUCUGCUAUACUAUGACUAUCAGUAGCUUGGCCUCUUUUUACACUAACAUGAAUAACUUCUUCUGCUUUAUCCACCCACUUCUUUCUCUUUGUUCUUCCCUUUUUUACCUCUGCCUAACUUCUGAAAAUUUCAAAGACUAAAUACCUGUUGGCUUGAUUUAAAUAGAGAUUAAAAAUUUAGGAACUAAAACUUAAAAAAAUGAUUAAUAAAGAGGUUUGAGAAACAGAUGGACACGCAUUCUUUUUCUUUGUAUCGGUAGUAGAGGCUGUGGGAGAAAUGUUCUUGGAACUGCUGGUUGAUUGUGCCUCUGCUUUUCUCUUCUUGCUGCUGAAUUCACGAUUUCCGGCUGAUGGAAAGCACUUGGAAGACCAUUGUGAUCGUACCUUGCUAGAAAUUCAAGUGGUGGUUGGUGGUGGGCCAAGAAAGAGUCUACUGAGUGGCGCUGAAAUUCUCUAAGGUAUUCGGAUUUAGCUUUGGAAGCAGCUUCAACAUUUGUAUGUUCAUAUCCAUCUCUAUGAAAGGCUGAGAAAGUCUUAGCCUUUGUAAAUAUUCUGUAAACUCGGCCAUGAAGAAUAUUUUCAGGUGGAGUGCUUCUUAGAGACUCUUAAUGGAAAAGGUAGGAAUUGAGAGUAACAUCUAUAAGGUACAAACAAAAUGUGUAUUAUUAGAAAAGUUUAAUUAGUAUUAUUGAUUAACAAAUAGUACCUUGAAUAUUUCCUAUAUGAAAAUGUGGGUGUCACUGAAAUUAUGUUUUGCUUUAAA